UUAGAUUUGAAAAGAAAAGGGACUCCCUGCGAUCCAAAGAAGAGGUUUCAAGUAUAUCUCAAUCAAAAAAAAUAAAUAUUUAGCAUUUUUUUUAAUCCUACCAACCUUUUCAGUUUUCAAGAUUGUAACGACACCCCUCAUUCCCUCAGUGACAGUGAGACCAAAACCUCAAGUCUCAAAUGGUCAUGUGUGUGUGAACCCAAAUCACUAAACAUUGAAAACCCACCCCCUAAAAUUGGCAACCCCAAUUGGCUUAAUGGUUCCUGUUGAAAGCAGAUCAGCAAUCCUAAUUGGCUGUUAGUUUCCACUGUAAAGCUCUGCUUGUGUUGAGAUGUGAAAUUGAAGGUUGGUCCGCUGUGAAACAGGUAACCACCACGAAUUAAGAGUUUCUGAAGUUCCUUGCUGAAAGCUCAUCAUACGCAACUCAGAUUGAAUGAAGUGCAAGUGAGCAAAGUAUGUGUAGGUGCAAUGAAGAUAAUCAAAUUCAGCUCUAGAGAAUUAAGUGGCAUUGUGGCAGCAACCAAAUUUUGGAAAAUGCUGUAUAAAUUGGGAUUGCUUCAUGUAAUAGGAUUUAUGUACAAUUAAUUGACAUGAGUAUGUAAGGAAAUGAUGGGUACUGGCUUGUAAAAUUUCACAGUAUAGGAAUUAUCUAUGACUUUAUAUUUAGUGAAAUUCAUGUAUCAAUAUGUGCU